GGCCUCUCGGUUCAGUGGCAAGAGCACCUUCAUUUUGAGGGAAGGAGGGCUGGGGUUCGAUUCCUCGAGAGGCUA
rfam:Serendipita vermifera MAFF 305830 unplaced genomic scaffold scaffold_64, whole genome shotgun sequence.